UAAUAUGUCUGCAGGUUGUUGAAGAAGUUCGGAGGAGCCUCAAUCAACCUGAAGAAUCAGAAGAAAGCGCAUACAUGAGGAAUUGUGAAAAGUAUCAGCUGAUUGACCAAUUGGACCCACUUAUUAAUAUUUACUAUGGCAUUUCAAAAGGAGUUAUGAAGCCACCACAUGAACAGUAAUUAAAUCAUAUCAUUUUGGGUUUUUUUAUUAAUAAGAGUACUGGUACCAACAUUGGAUUCAUUAGCACCAGUGAGAGACAAAAGAGAG